rnacentral:misc_RNA from 1 species
GAAAUGCGAUAAGUAAUGUGAAUUGCAGAAUUAAGUGAAUCAUCGAAUCUUUGAACGCACCUUGCGCUCCUCGGUAUUCCUUGGAGCAUGCCUGUUUGAGUAUCAUGAAAUCUUCAAAGUAAAUCUUUUGUUAACUCAAUUGGUUUCUACUUUGGUAUUGGAGGUCUUUGCAGCUUCACACCUGCUCCUCUUUGUUCAUUAGCUGGAUCUCAGUGUUAUGCUUGGUUCCACUCGGCGUGAUAAGUUAUCUAUCGCUGAGGACACUGUAAAAGGUGGCCAAGGUAAAUGCAGAUGAACCGCUUCUAAUAGUCCAUUGACUUGGACAAUACUUUUAUGAUCUGAUCUCAAAUCAGGUAGGACUACCCGCUGAACUUAAGC